CGGAAAAGAGCUUAACCCGUGAUUGUUGGGGCCGGCUGUUGCUCCUCCAGGGGCCGUCGUUCUUUUACAAAGAGGGGUGGAGGUUGUUGUUCCUUUUUUUUUUUUUUCUUUUUAAUGAAUGGAGGGCGGCGGCGACUGCUGCCGCUGGCUCAGCUGCGUGGGUUGUACCCUCCUCCCAGCCUGCGAGAGGAGGAACGUAGUGGAGGAUUUACUCCAAGGAAACAGGAAAUCAGGAAAAGUGAUUGGAUGCCAGGAGGCUGACAGCGGGAGCUAGGCAGGCAGGAGCUGUCCGAAGCAUUGGCUGGCUGGCUGCCUUUAGCGAUUUCACAUAGUCCACGGCCAUUACAACAUCAAAGAGUCAUGAGCCAAAUGUUCUUCGACAGGAAACUGGAACCUUGAAUAUCUCAAAGGAAUACUUCUUCCAGGACUGUGAGCCACCCAAGAACCUACCUCUCUAGCAAGCUCCCAUCUGCAGCCACCGUCGGGAUGAACAUGGAGUGGACACUUAGGGACUUCAAAUACAGCUGUCCAGUUCUGGAGCAUCAUCUCCGCUGUACCCUGUGCCGAGAUUUAGGAGAGCUCGCGUUUUCUGGGGAAACUGCUGGAUGCAGUUGGUAUCCCCUGGCUCUCAAAGUCCUGCCUUUUCACCUCACAUAGAAGAAGAAGGAACAAGAAUAUUCCUCUCACCUGCUUCGGAGAAGAAAGUGUUUUGGCUAAGGCUUGUGGGAAGACCUUUUACAGAACCCAUAUACCACUGCAGAGGCGUGGCCCGAGGAAGACAGAAAACAGCAGAUCUUUGAGGACAGACCAAAUCCUGCCCCAUGGGCCAGUCCAGAAGAAUCUUGCUAAAAGAAACAAGAGGCCCCAAGUCCAGUUUAGUCCCAAGUUUUAUUCAGAUAUAACUCAUAUGAACUACGGAUCACGUGUCCAACAUAGUGGUCUCAGUGCAUUCUUGAAUCUAUGGAGCCCUAUGAGAAGAAAAUAUUUAGAAGACAACUCAUUCCUUUAUGAAGAGGCUACCUUGGCAUGUAUACACGACAUGAAAAUGAUUGACGUUGACUUUGAACCCUUUCUCUAUGGGUUCUUGAGGCACAGAUACUAUCCCUCUGUGAGUGAGGGCACUUUGGAUAAAUGAUAUUUCCAAGUGUUCUCAGUUUGAGAGUGGUCCCCUGGGAAGUGCCUAGAGAUGAGGGAGAGAAGUGUUGUGGAGUCUCUCUAGCUAUCAUGGAAGUAGUCUUUGACAGAUGAGGAAAGCCAGCUGAAGAUGGCGAUUUAGGAGGCUUGUUUCACUCUGGUUAUUGCAUAGAGAAGACACCUUUUUUGAAUCUUUCUGCCAGUCAAUUAAAUCUAUUUUGCUAUUGACUGUAAUUCCGAACUUUGGUCACUCUCUCACUAAAUGGCUAGCUUCUGGAAGGUAACUGUAGACUCAGCUGAGAGGUCCUAGGCAUAGUACAAUAAGAGUGUCAGUUAUCCAUGCAUACUGCACUCAAACCCUUGCUGUAUGCAUCAGGACAGGGCAGACAGUGUGCAGAAAUGAGAUCCCUAAAAUAUCAGUGGCUAACACAGCAAAAAGUUAUUUUUCUCACACUGCAUGUUCGGACCAAUGUCAACUGUCACUGAUAGGGAGAAGAGCGACAAAGACAAUCAUAUUCUAAUUCUUACAAGGCACUGCUUGUGUUCUAAUAGCUCAGAGAGGUCCUGUAGCCCAUUAACCUUAGGAAAAUUCUCUUGUCAUUUUUUUAUAGCUGGGCUAAUGGUAAGUUUUGAUUGUCAACUUGAUUGAAUUAAAAACUGCCUAAGUCUUUGGGAAACACACCUCUGGGUGUGUCCAUGAGGAUGUUUCCAGAGAAGACUUACUGAGAAGGGAAAACCUACCCUCGGUGGGUGGCACCCCCCCCCAUGGGCUGGGGACCCAGGCUAAAUUAAGGGGGGUAAAGUAGAAAGCCUGUGAGUGCCAGCGUUUAUCUCUGCCUCCUGGUCUACAGAGAUAUGAGCAAGAAGCCUCCUGCCCCUGUUGUCACAUCCUUGAAUACCGAUGCCAGCAUGCCUUCCCCACCAUGGUAGUCAGGACCCCAGUGAGCCAAGAUAAAUCCUUCCUCUCUUAAGACACUUCUCAUCAGGUAUUUGGUCACAGAAGCAAGAAAAGUCACUUUGGUGAUGCUAUUAGGAGGUGGGGCCUUGUGGGAGAUACUUAGGUCAUGGGUAGAUUCCAACAAAGGACACACACCCUCUUUUUGUUUUGUUUUGUUUUUAGAAACAGGGUUUCUGUUUGUAGCUCUGCCUGUCCUGGAACUCACUCUGUACACCAGGCUGGCCUUGAACUCACAGAGAUCUGCCUGCCUCUGCCUCCCUGAGUGCUAGGAUGAAAGGCAUGUGCCACCACCACCCAGCUUCUUUUUGCUGCUUGGCCAUAGGGUAAAUCAUUGGCUCUGCCAUGGUUCCCCACCAUUGCUAUCUAGUAUCCACACCAGAGACCUAAAAGGCAGUGAAUCCAAUCAUUCAUGGACUAGAGCUCCCAAAAAUGUGAACCCAAAUAAAUCUUUCCUCUAAUAGGUGAGUAUCUCAGGCAUGUUGUUAUAGUGAUACA